UACACAAAGCCAGAUCGGACGGUGCAUACAGCAUACACAAAGCCAGAUCAGACGGUGAAGGUUUCAGACUAAAGCAAUAAUUUGUUUAUGAUGUCAGAGCUACAUAACAAGGUCAUGACAUCAGAGUUUCCUUAUACUGAAAACUACAGAUUUGAUACUGAGACCACUAUAAAGAAGGAGCCACUUGGGAUUUCUGACUCUGUGGAGGAGGAGGAAAACCAACAGCUUGUAAUAGUGAAG